CGCAAUGGGCGAAAGCCUGACGCAGCAACGCCGCGUGAGGGAUGAAGGCUUUCGGGUUGUAAACCUCUUUCAGCAGGGACGAUUGUGACGGUACCUGCAGAAGAAGCCCCGGCCAACUACGUGCCAGCAGCCGCGGUAACACGUAGGGGGCGUAGCGUUGUCCGGAUUUAUUGGGCGUAAAGAGCUCGUAGGUGGUUCGGUAAGUCGGGUGUGAAAACUCUGGGCUCAACUCAGAGACGCCACCUGAUACUGCCGUGACUGGAGUCUGGUAGGGGAGUGUGGAGUUUCCGGUGUAGCGGUGAAAUGCGCAGAUAUCGGAAGGAACACCAGUGGCGAAGGCGGCACUCUGGGCCAGUACUGACACUGAGGAGCGAAAGCGUGGGUAGCGAACAGGAUUAGAUACCCUGGUAGUCCACGCCGUAAACGUUGGGCACUAGGUGUGGGUCUCAACCAACGGGAUCCGUGCCGCAGCUAACGCAUUAAGUGCCCCGCCUGGGGAGUACGGCCGCAAGGCUAA
rnacentral:rRNA from 1 species